rnacentral:ncRNA from 1 species
GAGCUGUACGACUGGCGGAAAGCAUAUUAUACAGAACUUUUAAUUGGUUAAAGUUAUGGAAUAUGUGUGGGAUUACCCACAGGGAGUACAGUAUAUAUGAUUAUCAGCCGACCGCCUGGGCAGCCC